rnacentral:rRNA from 1 species
GUGCCAGCAGCCGCGGUAAUACGUAGGGUGCAAGCGUUAAUCGGAAUUACUGGGCGUAAAGCGUGCGCAGGCGGUUUUGUAAGACAGUGGUGAAAUCCCCGGGCUCAACCUGGGAACUGCCAUUGUGACUGCAAGGCUAGAGUGCGGCAGAGGGGGAUGGAAUUCCGCGUGUAGCAGUGAAAUGCGUAGAUAUGCGGAGGAACACCGAUGGCGAAGGCAAUCCCCUGGGCCUGCACUGACGCUCAUGCACGAAAGCGUGGGGACAAACAGGAUUA